rnacentral:ncRNA from 1 species
UAAAAAUUUAUGAUUUUCAUAAUUUAUUUAUAAUUUAUUUUACAUGUAAAUUUUAGUAUGAUUUUUACAUUAUUUUAAUAAUAAUAAUUUAUUUUGCAGUAAUUAAUAUUAAAAAUUUAAGAAAUUAAGAUUUAGUAAUAUUAAAAUUAUUAACAAAUUUUGUGCCAGCAGUUGCGGUUAUACAAAAAUUAAAAUAAAUUUUUUUAGUUAUAAUAAAUAUAUUUAAUUUAAAUUAAAUUUUAAAUUAUUAAGUGAAAUUUUAAUUUAAUAAAAUUUUAUUUAAGAAAUAUGAUUUAAUAAAUUUAUUAAGAAACUAGGAUUAGAUACCCUAUUAUUAAAAAUUUAAUUUAAAAUACUAAAAUAGUAGAUAAUAUUAUUGAAACUUAAAUAAUUUGGCGGUAUUUUAGUUCAUUUAGAGGAAUCUGUUUAAUAAUUGAUAAUCCACGAAUAAAUUUACUUAAUUUAAUAUUUUGUAUAUCGUUGUUAAAAAAAUAUUUUUAAAUAAAAAUAAUAUUUAAAAAUUAAAAAUAGAAAUUAGUUCAGAUCAAGAUGCAGAUAAUAAUUAAGAAUGUAAUGGAUUACAAUAAAUUUAUUUAAAUGAAUUUUAUUUUUGUAAUAAAUAAUUGAAAUUGGAUUUAAAUGUAAUUUUAUUUAAUUUAAUAAAAUGAUUAAAAAUUAAAAUAUGUACAUAUUGCCCGUCACUUUCAUUUUAAAAUUGGAAUAAGUCGUAACAAAGUAGAGGUACUGGAAAGUGUUUCUAGAAAGAC